rnacentral:misc_RNA from 1 species
UACGUAGGGCGCAAGCGUUAUCCGGAAUUACUGGGCGUAAAGCGCACGUAGGCGGCUAUUCAAGUCAGGGGUGAAAUCCCGGGGCUCAACCCUGGAACUGCCUUUGAAACUGGAUGGCUAGAAUCUUGGAGAGGCGAGUGGAAUUCCGAGUGUAGAGGUGAAAUUCGUAGAUAUUCGGAAGAACACCAGUGGCGAAGGCGACUCGCUGGACAAGUAUUGACGCUGAGGUGCGAAAGCGUGGGUAGCAAACAGG